UCGAGAAUUUUUCUCAAUGGGCGAAAGCCUGAAGGAGCGACGCCGCGUGGAGGAUGAAUGGCUUCGGCCCGUAAACCCCUGUCAUUUGCGAACAAAUUAAUUCACCCAACACGUGGAUUAUUGAUUGUAGCGGAAGAGGAAGGGACGGCUAACUCUGUGCCAGCAGCCGCGGUAAUACAGAGGUCCCAAGCGUUGUUCGGAUUCACUGGGCGUAAAGGGUGCGUAGGCGGUUGGGUAAGUCUGACGUGAAAUCUCCGGGCCUAACCCGGAAACUGCGUUGAAUACUAUCCAGCUAGAGGAUUGGAAGGGAGACUGGAAUACUUGGUGUAGCAGUGAAAUGCGUAGAUAUCAAGUGGAACACCAGUGGCGAAGGCGAGUCUCUGGACAAUUCCUGACGCUGAGGCACGAAAGCCAGGGGAGCAAACGGGAUUAGAUACCCGUGUAGUCC
rnacentral:rRNA from 1 species